GCCAUAUUGUGACAUAGACUUCCCAUCUUUCAUAUAUGCGUUUACAUUGAGUGUGCUAUGAAUUUGCUAGUUUUGCCACUGUAAUUUAAAUAAAAUAGCAAUUAUGGGGGAUUGGUCCGCACCAAAUUUUUGCAAUAAUGAUUCCAAAGGCUUUCAAACGUUUCGUUUUACGUCUGAUAGUUCUAGAAUAGCUAUUUGAGUAUUUGGCUACAAAACUGUAGACCUACUAAUUGGAAACCAACUUCAACUUCCAGACAAUGUGAGGUACAUUUUGAAGAUAGUCAAUGGGAGUCACAGCAAGCAGAUUGGUGGAAAAAGUUAAAGCCCAAUGCUGUUCCAGCCAUAUUUAAUGUUCCCAACCCACCAAAACUGUUGGCGCCAAAACGACAAUCUCACUACAAGGUUAUGAAAACUAGUGGAAUUGUUGAAUCUUUGAAUAUUAGUGGAACCUGUGAAACUGGAAAAUCUGAUGUAGAGGAUGGAAUUGCACAUCUUCAUGAGGCUCAGGCUACAGAAGAACAGAAGAAAAUUCUUCAGCUCGAAAAUGAAGUCUCCUCACUGAAAGCACAGCUCAAGGAGAAAGAAUCGAUGAUGGAGGUAAUCCUGAAUGAAGAUCAGAUAUCUGCUUUGAAACGCACGCCAAACCAAGAAUCCAAGACGCCAAUUGCCAAGACUCCCUUCCAAAUGGUGUAAUUGAAACAGUUUUUCCCGAAAGUUCAAAUCUGGACAGUGAGGAUUUGAACUUAUUGUUCAAUAUUGGGCAUUGCUAAAAAAUAUCAAAUGUGCGAACUGUGCUGCAUUCCUGAAUCUGGGGGAUACUGAAAAUAACUGGCGAACAUUUUAUGUUGACUAUCUCAGCAUGGGAAAUUUGAAGAUGCCAAAUGUUGAAAUAUUCAAAUUGAUAAUCAAUUGUGAAGUUUUAUUUCGUAAAUUUGGAACACACAUACAGAAAAAUGGAUUGGAUUGGAUCCUAUCACUAAAAGAAUUGUGAAAGACAUUGCUGCAGUAAUACUGUAUCAUUUAUAUACUCUGUGUUCUGUAAGAAUGAGAAUACUAUGUGAAGAAGAAGAAAAUAUGAAGUUUUCAGUUGAUCAUCUUCCAAAUAUUUAUUAUUUUCUAUCACUAUUGUAUAGUAUAUCUUCAUCUUUCUUUUCCUCUUCUCCUCCUUCAUGAUCCACUAACUCUUAUUUCUCUCAUAUGCUACUCCUUCUUCUUUUUCUCUUCCUCCUCCUAGAAGAAGAAGAAGAAGAUUUCUUCCUUCUUCUUCCACUAUCUAAUCUUCUUCAUGUUCUACCACUUCUUAUUUCUAUCUUGCUACUCCUUCCCAUUCUUCUCUUUCUCCAAUGAGAAGAAAAAAUAAAAAGAAGAAGGAGAAGAAGAGGAAGAAUAGAAUGAUGAAGAAGAGGAGAAGAAAAAGAAAAAGAAGAAGAUGAGUAGAUGAUAAGAAUAAAAUGACAAUUUUGAGUAGAAGAAGAAGAAUAAAUAAUAGAACAUGAUGACAAAAAGAUAAUAGUAAGAAGCAGAAGAAGGAGAAAAAGAAGAAAAGCUACAACAUGAUGAUGAAGAAAAAUAAGUUUGGAGAUGAAGAAAAAUAAGUAGGAGAUGAAGAGAAUAAGAUAUCAUGAGAAAAGAAGAAGAAGCUGAUGUAUUACUAUUAUUACAUUCAUUUAAACUACAUAAGUCACCCUAUCCAUAAUAUUGGUGAAGCUGAAUUUUUGCAGGAUGUUAGUAUAUAUAGUUAAUAGCCUGGAAUCACAAUAUACUCAUUUUUCUCUCACUUGCUCUAUAAGGUCAACUUUUGUAAAGAUAUCCAAUACUCCAGAAUCAUUACCCGAAAAAUGUUGCGUUUUCGGAAUUAAUUAUCAAAACUGCCCUUUUUCACUAUCUCGUAACUGGACUAUUAUUAACUAAUGAGCUGUUUAACAUGCAUUUUAACAUGAAGAUUCUUUAAGAAGAAUAAUUAUAGGAGUUUUCUCUGGUUUUAGAUAGCAAGUCUAUCUAUAGUGAGAUUUAUUAAAACUUUGAACUAGUAUUCCUUUGAGGUAAAUCUUGAAGCUAAUCUUUUGGAGGAUCUUGUUUUGUCAUGUGUAUGAACAGAGUUGAUUUAAAAUGAACAGUAAUUCAGUAUUUGAUUCAAUUUAUGGCUAAUUUGGUUAAAUAAGACUGUCAAUUUCGUGGGACAGUGUUUAGUGCUUUGAUUAGGUCAUCAAAACUUCUGGAGUUAUUGUAGAAAUUUUCUAUUUUGGGAUUCAGAAUAGAUAUUGUAAACCAACAAUUGAAUCGCCUAAUGCCAAGAAUCUCAAAGUUGCAGCCAAUUGUUCUUGUGAAGUUAUUGCUUUCCUCAUAAUGGUAUCAUUUGUUUGGAUAACUAGUUGAAUAAGAUUCAGCAUAUUAACAAAAUAAUGUUUCCACAUCCUAAUAAAGUUUGAAUUGUCAAUCCCA